GGGUCGUUAGCUCAGUUGGUAGAGCAGUGGACUUUUAAUCCUCUGGUCGCUGGUUCGAAUCCAGCAGGAGGCACCA
rnacentral:tRNA from 1 species